UGGGGAAUCUUGCGCAAUGGGCGAAAGCCUGACGCAGCGACGCCGCGUGAGGGAAGAAGGCCUUCGGGUUGUAAACCUCUUUCAGGAGGGACGCGGUACCUCCAGAAGAAGCCCCGGCUAACUACGUGGCAGCAGCCGCGGUAAAACCGGUUACUCCUACGG
rnacentral:rRNA from 1 species